ACUUUAGGUAUGCAUUUCACAUAUAUUUGCAGGCAAAAAAUGCACCUCCCUCCUCUUCUCUCUUUGUUUCAAGACAAACAAAAGUAACUGGCAUUUCACCCCGCCCUUCCCCCCACCAGCCCCCAACUACAUGUUACUGCAGCACAGGCGCCCUAGAAAGGGAAACCUGUUUUCCUCCUCCCAGGUUUCUGGUUUCUCCACCUAGUCUCCCCACAGUCCUUCACUGCCCGCACCCAGAGUCCUUCCGGCCUCUACCCAGACUCUGAGAAGUGGCCCGACAUUCCAGGUAACCUGAUUCCCCAGACGGGAUAGGCGGCGGCCUGCUGCUGCGAAGGCGCGACCACGUGACCUUUCCUGCCUGCACCGGGGAAAUGCAUACCUUGUUCAGAAAACUAGGGGACAGGCAGAUCUGCUGUUAGAGAAGAAUUCUUUUGCCCUAACUGUGUCUCUGUGAUCUGUGGAUGAGGGUGGGAAAGGACCACUCAAUCAAUUGGGGUGUACAAAAUGGAGUUUGAGAAGUGGUUGGACUGAGUCCCAUGAAGCCAGAUAACUUCUGACUGCAAGGAGCUUGGAAAAGCAAGUAUCUGGAUCUUUUACCAGCUAAAUUUGGAGAUAGGUAUCUACCAGACUGGGGAAGAAGAGGAGAAGAAUGGCUGUUGAGUGCAGAUCAAUUUGUUUCCACUGAAGUCUAUGGAUGAAAUAUUUACGCAUAGCCGAGAAACGCAUCUGUCAGGUGAUGUCAACGCCUGGCUUACUCCUCUUCCUGUUGGGUUGCAAACACGGCCUUCUCUCACGGUCCUGGAAUGCUGACACGGUCGGGCAGCCAGAGCCUAACACAGGAGGAACUUCCGUGGUCAUCCCAGUCAUGUGA
rnacentral:lncRNA from 1 species